rnacentral:misc_RNA from 1 species
GUUUUUCAUUUUAAAUGUUUUUCAACAAAGAAAAAAAAUCUUUAGACUUUGGUGUGACUUUUGAAAGUGUGUGUAAUAUAUAUACAACAACACACUUUCUUGGUCAAUGAUAUGGAGUUUUAAAAAAGGUUCACACAAAAAAAGGUUUUGGGGUUUGUGGAUAAAAUUGUUUUAGCAAUGAUCCUUCCGCAGGUUCACCUACGGAAA